UAUUACCAGUUUGCAACACAAGUUUUCGUACGAUUACCGAAGUUAAACAACGUCGAGCCUGGUUAGUAUCUAGACGGGUGACUGCUUGGAAAUAACAGGUGCUGUAA